GUGGGGAAUAUUGCGCAAUGGGGGAAACCCUGACGCAGCGACGCCGUGUGAGGGAAGAAGGCCUUCGGGUUGUAAACUGCUUUUGUACGGAACGAAACGGCUCUGGUUAAUACCCGGGGCUAAUGACGGUACCGUAAGAAUAAGCACCGGCUAACUACGUGCCAGCAGCCGCGGUAAUACGUAGGGUGCAAGCGUUAAUCGGAAUUACUGGGCGUAAAGCGUGCGCAGGCGGUUUUGUAAGACAGGCGUGAAAUCCCCGGGCUCAACCUGGGAAUGGCGCUUGUGACUGCAAAGCUGGAGUGCGGCAGAGGGGGAUGGAAUUCCGCGUGUAGCAGUGAAAUGCGUAGAUAUGCGGAGGAACACCGAUGGCGAAGGCAAUCCCCUGGGCCUGCACUGACGCUCAUGCACGAAAGCGUGGGGAGCAAACAGGAUUAGAAACCCUUGUAGUCC
rnacentral:rRNA from 1 species